ensembl:lncRNA
UGGGGUUAUGACCAUCCUGUCAGAGGGCACAGGUAAUGGGAUUGCACUUCCAGCUAUGAGUGAUGCAAGGUGUUAAUGAUACUCCUGCUCACACACCUGCCAAAUGGGCCUCCUUUGGUGCUGUCGAGUCUUUCCUAUGGUGGCAUUUGCAGGCAGAGAUUUCCUUGGCUCAGGUGCCUGUAUUUUCGCGGGCAUUUUUAAUUUGUAGCACCAGCUGAAAAGAGGCACUCCUCAUUGUUCUCCUCAUCCAGGCUGAAACCCAUGCCCUGUGGAAACACGGGGGUGAGGGAUAUUUAAUCCCACAUAGCUCCAAGGCAAUGGGAGUGGAUGUCAUUUCGACCUGUUACGCUCAGAAUCUGGAGCAGAAAGCGCGGACGGAGGCAGAGAUGGGGCAGGCUGCUGUGAGCUCCCAGCCCGCCGCCAGCAGGGGGGAGUAUGGGCAGCGCGGAAAGCUCCGCUCCUCGGGGAAAAGCCGGCCAGCCCUCCAAAAACGCUGCAAGGGGGUGAAUGCCGGGGCACGACACCCGAGUCUGCCCUGGGCCCCUUCCCCGCUCUCCCAUAACGCUGGAGCCUGACGUGGGCAAGCUGACAGUCCCGGGAGCUGCUUUACCCGCUCACAAGUUGCCUUUAGCCGCCCCUAACCUGCCCGAGUGUGAGGCAGCUCUCAGCUGCUCGCUGCAGCUGAAGAGAGAGACACGGGCAUCUUCCCCGGCGUCUGGAGGGUCUUCUUCCAGAGACGUCUCUUGGGAUUGAAUAAGGGGAGUAGGGCUGGAGGAAAUGUGGAGAUUUGAGGACACCAGGACAGGGGAAUGGAACGGUGGGGAGCCAGGAGUGGCCUGUGAGAGUUGGAACCUUGUGGAAAGCAAGAGGGAAGGCGAUGAAGCAGACUGCUGCUUCUGGCGACAGAGAUGAAGAAGGAAAAGAGGCUGUCGGGAAGGGAAUCGCUACUGGAUGCAAAGAAACAGCACUGACUGACCAGCAGGCACCAUUUUCCCCCAUGGGUGAAGAACUACAGACCUUCUACCAGCACCUCCUCUAUCAAGCUCUGCUUCAUCCUCUCAUCAUGCACUCUGCCCAGCCCAGUCUUGGGUGCUCAGACCUCUCUUCAGCCCCAGAAAGGGCAGGAAUGAGGGUAUAUGCUCAGGGGGUGUGUUCAACAGUGAAAGAACUGAAGUACAGAACAGAUGUUAAAACAAUCCUGCUGACGGUUGAGGACCUGUCCUGUUACCUCCACUCACUUGGCACUGCCUCUGCUGCUUGCUGCAAAAGGAUGAUACAAAGAUCCAGUCAGUGA